AAUUCCAGCGAGAGACAGAGGGAGUGAGCGGGCGAGUUGGAAGGAGCUCAGUGUGCAGAGCCGCGCUCCGGGCGUCCUGGGAAGGCAGCUUGGGAGUGAGAGGGGCUUCGCCUCCGGGCCUGCCGCCCCCCUGCCCCAGCCCUCCGGCUGACCCAGCACCAGCGAUCGCCACCCUCGCCCCCUCUGGGAAACUUUGCCCAUUGCAGCGGGCAGACACUUGCACUGGAACUUACAAUCGGCGAGUGAGGACAGGACUCCCCAGGCGCCGGGGAGGAAAUUUUUGUCUAUUUGGGGACAGUGUUCUCUGCGUC
rnacentral:other from 1 species